AGUGAACGCUGGCGGUAGGCCUAACACAUGCAAGUCGAACGGCAGCACAGUAAGAGCUUGCUCUUACGGUUGGCGAGUGGCGGACGGGUGAGGAAUACAUCGGAAUCUACUUUUUCGUGGGGGAUAACGUAGGGAAACUUACGCUAAUACCGCAUACGACCUACGGGUGAAAUCAGGGGAUCUUCGGACCUUGCGCGAUUGAAUGAGCCGAUGUCGGAUUAGCUAGUUGGCGGGGUAAAGGCCCACCAAGGCGACGAUCCGUAGCUGGUCUGAGAGGAUGAUCAGCCACACUGGAACUGAGACACGGUCCAGACUCCUACGGGAGGCAGCAGUGGGGAAUAUUGGACAAUGGGCGAAAGCCUGAUCCAGCCAUACCGCGUGGGUGAAGAAGGCCUUCGGGUUGUAAAGCCCUUUUGUUGGGAAAGAAAAGCAGCAGGUUAAUACCCCGCUGUUCUGACGGUACCCAAAGAAUAAGCACCGGCUAACUUCGUG
rnacentral:rRNA from 1 species